rnacentral:rRNA from 1 species
AUUGAACGCUGGCGGCAUGCCUUACACAUGCAAGUCGAACGGCAGCACGGGAGCAAUCCUGGUGGCGAGUGGCGAACGGGUGAGUAAUAUAACGGAACGUGCCCAGUCGUGGGGGAUAACGUAGCGAAAGCUACGCUAAUACCGCAUACGAUCUAUGGAUGAAAGCGGGGGAUCGCAAGACCUCGCGCGAUUGGAGAGGCCGAUAUCGGAUUAGGUAGUUGGUGAGGUAAAGGCUCACCAAGCCGACGAUCUGUCGCUGUUCUGAGAGGACGACCAGCCACGCUGGGACUGAGACGCGGCCCAGACUCCUACGGGAGGCAGCAGAGGGGAAUUUUGGACAAUGGGCGCAAGCCUGAUCCAGCAAUGCCGCGUGCAGGAUGAAGGCCUUCGGGUUGUAAACUGCUUUUGUACGGAACGAAACGGCGAGCUCUAAUACAGUUUGCCAAUGACGGUACCGUAAGAAUAAGCACCGGCUAACUACGUGCCAGCCGCCGCGGUAA